CGAGGAGCAUGCCCACUGUCCCUGAGCAUUUGCUUUUAAUGGAGGAGACUCUUACUCAUUAAACUUGUCACCCGAGUGCCCUCAUCAGCUGCUCUUGUACUCCUGGAAGAUUCAAUCCUCUCGUAGUCAUUUUCACUUGCAGUUGUCCCCACCAGAUGAGCAAGAAACUCUCUUCUCUUUGGUGGAGAGAAGCUAGAGGAGGUUUUCCCAAGGAAGAUGGAGAAGUAUGUGCUGCUUUCCAUCCACAGGAAUCAAAGGCUCACCGACGUCAUCCUUUCCGUGGCACAGGCUUGUUUUACCUGAAAA
rnacentral:lncRNA from 1 species